rnacentral:lncRNA from 1 species
CACAUCACCAGCAUCGUGUAGGCAGGUACAAGAAAAAAACCUGUUGAGCUGUGCCUUUUCCUGCCACUGUCACACCCUCUGGCCUGAUGUGGACUGUGCCUGCUGCGAGCCAGGCAGCAACUGAAAAGCAUCAGGGAAUCACAUUAUGUUAGAUCCUUCCAGCUUCAAGUAAUUAACUCAGUCCAUUUUAUGGAACUGGGAUGAUUUUGAAGAAACUCCAAUGGAAUAUAUAGACAAUUCCUUGGCAAUCAGGGUCUUGAAAACUUCUUUCACUGUGAUGCAAACUAGCAGCACUUUCCUUGCAUGUGGGACAAGUUAAGAACACCCAUAUGAACAGGUAGGAUGGCUCAUCUGGAACUUGUUAUGCUAACAUAAAUCAGCCGUGUUUGAUACAGGCCUU